CGCCCCACCUCUCCCUUAACAUCACCAUUACCACACCUCCAUGAAAGCUUGCUCCAAGCUUUAAAUCCCCCAUUAAACCCUAAUUUCUUCCCCAAUCACUUCAUAAAACCUUAUUUUCUUCCUUUGAGAGAGAGAUUUAGCAAGAAAGAAAGAAGGAAAGAGGGGUGGAAUUGAAGAUUGAAAUUCAAAGUUUAAGUUGAAAAGAAUAUCGGGAAAGAACCCGAGGAAUCGAGUCAAGGCUAAGAGGCGACUCGCUUAAGGUGAAAGGAAAUAUAGAGCAGCUGAGCAGGAUUACUGAGAAGACAUAGUGAGACUACCUUCGGGUAUAUCAUAGGUAUACCCUUGUACAUUAGAUUUUGAUGUAAUUCUGUAAUUAUAUGUAUGUAAUUUCAUUUGAGCAAUUGUAUCAACUCUUUUGUAAUAUAU